UGCCUGAAGGAUUUUGAUGCCC
rnacentral:miRNA from 1 species